rnacentral:rRNA from 1 species
UACGUAGGUCCCGAGCGUUGUCCGGAUUUAUUGGGCGUAAAGCGAGCGCAGGUGGUUUAUUAAGUCUGGUGUAAAAGGCAGUGCCUCAACCAUUGUAUGCAUUGGAAACUGAUAGACUUGAGUGCAGGAGAGGAGAGUGGAAUUCCAUGUGUAGCGGUGAAAUGCGUAGAUAUAUGGAGGAACACCGGUGGCGAAAGCGGCUCUCUGGCCUGUAACUGACACUGAGGCUCGAAAGCGUGGGGAGCAAACAGG